rnacentral:rRNA from 1 species
CCUGAUGACCAUAGCGAUUUGGUACCACCCCUUCCCAUCCCGAACAGGACCGUGAAACGAAUUUGCGCCGAUGAUAGUGCUGCAACCAGUGUGAAAGUAGGUCAUCGUCAGGCUUUUAUUAGAAAACCCCCUUCCAGUGAUCUGGUCGGGGGUUUUUGCUUUUGGAAAAUCGCUUUGCAUGGAGCUGUGUGGCAGCAGAUGGCGUGCGCUCACGCCACUUCGCUGUGCUUACUUUACUGUACGCUGCCGACUUCUAAUGUUCU